GGUAUUCACUGAGAUAUGAUUAAUUAAAUGCGUUGAUAGCUCAUUCCACCAGUCAUACAGAUUACACUGAGUGGAGCGGGUGACCGAUCUAAGAUGGCGGACCCAUGUCUCGCCGCGCCAGUAGGCAGUAGCGGUCGAUAGGGCGAGUAUAGGUUUAUACUCGACGCGUCAACGCGGAGUGGGCGGUCGCGCGCGUUGGGUGCGCGAGACCCCAUUUCGCGUGGCGCUGUGCACGGCAUUUUUUGUAACUUUCCGCGCGGCUCCGCAUCCGAAAAUGACCGAACUCGAGGCGAUUCUGUCCGAGCAGGCAAGCCUGUGACGUAUCUCUUUGAUCAAUCCAAGCAAAACAAUGUAUAUAUUUAUCCAGUAGGGGUUCAGAUAAAAAUCGGCAGCCGGCAGCAGGAAGUGGCUGCCAUUGACAGCCUGAAGGUAGGAGGGACCUGACAGUCGUUAACAGCCAAUCAAUAUCGACCAACGUGAACUCAACCAAUCACAUAUAACUACAACAGCAGCCAUUGCAUGCUUUAGUAAUGGCAGCGAUUAAUCGAGCACCGGAAGAAGCAGUGCACAUCAACCAUGUUGGAAGCAUUCAAGGAUGAGACAAAAUGGCAGGAGAAAGAAGUGCAGAACAUCAGAGUACAUCUUGAUGUUGCCAGAUGCUGUCCUGUCAGAAGUUCUUCUUCACGUGGUCCUGGAGGAGGGUGAUGCUGCUGCAUUGUUAAAUCUCUCUUUGGUUUGUUCCAAAUUCAGAAGUCUGGUGGACAGGCACACUUCUGCUGGCUUGAUGGUGUAACUAAAUGGAGUACAAAGUCUGAGCCAUCCCAGGACCUUUAGAAAAUGUUUACACUUCAGCCAACACUGCAAUGAAGUGUACAAUAACUGCUUACCAGGUUAUGUUGGAAGAGGAAAACGAGGAGAGAUGCAAGGCUUUUACUCCGAAAACACCCAUCCAGGGGUUUGCAGUGAGUGGUGCAUGAUGCUACAGGAGGAAUAACUCUGUAUAACACAUCAGUUCUGUUCUGAAAGUCUUGUAAAUACCUCCAGGAUUGUUGUUCGUGAUUCUGAUUUCUGACAUCUACUAGGGAGUGCCCCUAAUAUUAUGUGUAUAUGUUUAUGAAGAAGUUUCUUUGUCUCAAAUCAUGCAAUCAUGCUCUUCUGCAAAUCAUGCACCAAAGGGUACUGUAUUUCUUAUGUUUUAUAUCUUAAGGACCACAAUGGAAAUAAGCCUAUGGGCUUUUUGUAUUUUUAUCCUUUUGAACACUUCAUGUUGAUUGUUGUUCAAUAAAGUAUUUAAUCAAUUCAA